AUUGAACGCUGGCGGCAGGCCUAACACAUGCAAGUCGAGCGGCAGCGGAAAGUAGCUUGCUACUUUGCCGGCGAGCGGCGGACGGGUGAGUAAUGUCUGGGAAACUGCCUGAUGGAGGGGGAUAACUACUGGAAACGGUAGCUAAUACCGCAUGACCUCGAAAGAGCAAAGUGGGGGAUCUUCGGACCUCACGCCAUCGGAUGUGCCCAGAUGGGAUUAGCUAGUAGGUGAGGUAAUGGCUCACCUAGGCGACGAUCCCUAGCUGGUCUGAGAGGAUGACCAGCCACACUGGAACUGAGACACGGUCCAGACUCCUACGGGAGGCAGCAGUGGGGAAUAUUGCACAAUGGGCGCAAGCCUGAUGCAGCCAUGCCGCGUGUGUGAAGAAGGCCUUAGGGUUGUAAAGCACUUUCAGCGAGGAGGAAGGCACCAUACUUAAUACGUGUGGUGAUUGACGUUACUCGCAGAAGAAGCACCGGCUAACUCCGUGCCAGCAGCCGCGGUAAUACGGAGGGUGCAAGCGUUAAUCGGAAUUACUGGGCGUAAAGCGCACGCAGGGGGUUUGUUUAGUCAGAUGUGAAAUCCCCCGCGCUUAACGUGGGAACUGCAUUUUGAAAAUGUGAAGCUAGAGCUUGUAUAGGGGGUGUAGAAUUCCCCGUGUCACGCGGGAAAUGUGUGGUAG
rnacentral:rRNA from 1 species